UAUCUACUCCUCUCUUCUUUUCUUUUCUUUCUUCUCUUAAAAGAGAGACUUGGGAGAAUACUAUUCAUCUACGUCAGAUGCCUUUUCACACCUGGUUUACAAGCCGGUUCUUCUACAGUUAACAUUUUAGGAUAUAUGAGGGCUCGAAUGAAACACAUUCAUUCCUCUCUCGAUACCAAAGAAAGCCCUAUCUUGUCCGUUCUCAAAACUCACUCCUCACUAUGGCAAAGCAACCGAGCAAGGUGUGGUGGGGGAGCUGGAGGAAGAUGACAAGAGAGUUCUAUAUUUCUAUGUCUAACUCAUAUCUAUCUCUAGGAUCUUUCUCCUUUUCGUUCUCUACUACCAGCAGUUAGCAGUUGAUUGUCUCAGUAAUUCCACUUGUAAAACAAGAGAUACUUCAAUUAGUGAUGUUGGUUGUUUUGAGAGCGUUGAGUUAUCAGUACUUCUUUGCAAUGCUGGGCUCAUAAGGAAACUUAACAGAGAAUGGAGGGAUGAAGACAACGUUAUUGAUAUCCUCUCAAUGUCCCAACAUAUUCGUGAACUAAAGCUUCCAAUUACUGCUUUAAGACGAGUAGAGGAGAAAGGGCACACUAUUCUCGAUGGGAUAGAAAUCCUUGUGGUUAGUUCAAUCAUACUUACACAAUUUUUAGAUACUUAAAAGUUUUGGCUACUCUUAUUAUUUUCAAAAAUGAACUAUGGGCUAUAUAUAAAGGUGGGGAAAAGUGUUCGGUAUUAUGCGUCACGGGUUAUUAACUACUGCCGCUGACUUCUCUUCCCUCUGUUAGUCACACUUCUGAUGAUUUGAAAUUCAGAUAAUUGUAAAAUCUUAUUGAUUGUUAAUAUUCCACCAUUAGUUCCAGUUUUA